rnacentral:lncRNA from 1 species
UUAUUAGGGUUUAUCGCUAAAGGGAUUAAAAAAAAAACUCAAUUCUCAAUAGAAGAAAUGACUGGUGGUGGUAUGAAUCGGUUGCGAAAUCUGCCUUAUAGCCCAGGCACCAUAGCGGUCGGCAGCGCCAUCAUCGUUGGCGGAAUUUGGUACUACAUGAUGUACAUGAAGAAGAAACCAGAAGAUGCUGCUAGGGAUGCUACUAAGAUUGCCAGUGGUAUUGUUCGUCCUGAGGAUACUCGUAAGUAGAUAACUUAGGCAUGUAACUAUAGUUAAAUUUUUUUCCUUUUCUUUUAAUCAUGUCUCUGUCAAAAACUUGAAGUAUCAUAUUUUCAUAUCAGUCACUAUUUCCUUUAUAUUUUCACUUUAC